rnacentral:rRNA from 1 species
UACGGGGGGGGCAAGCGUUGUUCGGAAUUACUGGGCGUAAAGGGCUCGUAGGCGGCCAACUAAGUCGGACGUGAAAUCCCCAGGCUCAACCUGGGAACUGCGUCCGAUACUGGAUGGCUUGAAUUCGGGAGAGGGAUGCAGAAUUCCAGGUGUAGCGGUGAAAUGCGUAGAUAUCUGGAGGAAUACCGGUGGCGAAGGCGGCAUCCUGGACCGAGAUUGACACUGAUGAGCGAGAGCCAGGGGAGCAAACGGG